UACGAAGGGAGCUAGCGUUGUUCGGAAUCACUGGGCGUAAAGCGCACGUAGGCGGAUGUGUCAGUCAGGGGUGAAAUCCCGGAGCUCAACUUCGGAACUGCCUUUGAUACAGCACGUCUUGAGUACGGGAGAGGUGAGUGGAACUGCGAGUGUAGAGGUGAAAUUCGUAGAUAUUCGCAAGAACACCAGUGGCGAAGGCGGCUCACUGGCCCGUUACUGACGCUGAGGCACGAAAGCGUGGGGAGCAAACAGG
rnacentral:rRNA from 1 species